rnacentral:rRNA from 1 species
UACGAAGGGGGCUAGCGUUGCUCGGAAUUACUGGGCGUAAAGGGCGCGUAGGCGGAUAGUUUAGUCAGAGGUAAAAGCCCAGGGCUCAACCUUGGAACUGCCUUUGAUACUGGCUAUCUUGAGUUCGGGAGAGGUGAGUGGAAUGCCGAGUGUAGAGGUGAAAUUCGUAGAUAUUCGGAAGAACACCAGUGGCGAAGGCGGCUCACUGGUCCGGUACUGACGCUGAGGUGCGAAAGCGUGGGGAGCAAACAGG